UUUAGUAUAUUUUAAAUAAAAAAUAUAACUUUUGGGUAGUUAAGAUUUUACUAAGA
rnacentral:tRNA from 1 species